UUUUUUGUGUGUGGAUUUGCAGAGUUUCAACAGCUAGAUUGCUUGAACUCCCUGCGGACCUUUGUGUGACUUGAUGGAAAAGCUAUGCUUCAGGAGAAUGGGGCUGCCCUCCUGUAGUUCAAACACCCCACCUGUAGGAGAAAAAACUCUGAUCAAAAUUCACAUUUUUACAGUGCAAGCAGCUUCCCUAUCACUCGCUGGGAGGGUACAUGGAUUGACGCAAAGUUGUAGUGGUUCAACAUCUGCACACCUGCCAACAAAGUAGAAACAUGCACUCACUACAAGUGAGAAAGAACUCCAUGGCCUCUUUGGUGAACAAGCAAUCUCAACAAUUCCCCACGACACAAGUCUCCCAAGAUUAGCUCUGGCAGAAUGAUAUCUGCCCACUGUUGACUGAAAACAGACAAGGAGAACGGGAAGACGAGCAGCAGUAGUUGCCUUUCCAGACCACAAGCUUCACAAGUUUUGCACUUAGUAAAACCAAGGUUCGUCAUUUCGGGUACCGGACCCGUCUCAGAGAUUUAUCGGUAUGGUACAUAUCAGUCUGCACCGAUAUACCGGUGUACUGACACAUGGUACGCCAAGACCCUGCUGAUGUGGAUUCGGACAAACUGUAUCUCAGUGACGAGUCGGAUCGAUACGUACCGCCCAUACCAUACCAACUCGGUUGGUACAGCAAACCGUGGGUAAGACAACAAGUUAGUGUCAUGUAGAGUCGAGUACUGAUGGGGCUUGGUGUUACAAAGAUAAUACAGGGGUGUGGGUUUCUUAAUUAAGAACUCUAAUAGCAGAUGUUUUCAUUUCUGGUGGCAGGUUUGUACAGGACAGCUCAGGUUGUAGCUGCGAAGCCUUCAUGGUGAAGGAUGGGUUGCAAUCACACGACUAUUGGUAUAAAGUGAUGCUGCCAACUUGGUGGAGGUUCUCAACAAAAAGAAACCAUUCCCUUGACGACAGCUUAAUAUUUUUGAUGCAAUCAGCAUCAAUCAUAUACAGGGAGACCAACAAAGAUGCCAAUUGGGUGGCUGGCUUUUCUCGGACCUUCAGAUUCAUGCACAGAUAGAUGGAACUGUAGAUGUAUACUGAAAGGGCUGUCAAUUUUUUGAAGCAUGCUCGGACUAGAGAAAGUGAGAAGAGGAAAGGAGAGGGGGUGUAAGUUAGGUUUCCACUAUUUGCACAGUGAUCUGCUGCAGCUGAGUUCCCCUGCUGUCAUUAUCAAGAAUCUCCCCACAGUGAUUGAGCUAUAGAUCGGCAACUUGUUCCAGACAUUUUCACUUUCUGAAGGUUGGCAAGCACCCACAAACUCCUUGUCUCUUUGUGAAAACCAGAUCAACAUUGUUGCAGGAGUCCAUCCCAUGUCAUGGAUUUUAUCUUGUUUCCAUCUGGAAUCUGAAACACAAAGUCCGAUUCAUGUCUUCUUUAUCUUAUCAUGUCACCAUAACUUAUAUCUGAGUUCCUAUCGUAUGAAAGUAAUAAGAUCUUGCUAGAUCUACAACUUGAGUUUUUGGAUUCCCUCAACAGUUUGCUCAAGUUAUAUCUGCAGUUUCCUGCAAGGUUUUCCAGGUACUAAUCAGAAGAACUUUAGACUUGAGCAAGAACAAAAAGCAUCUCAGAAUCAUUUCAACUUUACACUGCUUUAUAUAUGCCUUCCAUUAGUUUUUUGACUUCUACUCAAAGUUGUCGGCCAUAUGAUCUCAAAGAUACGCACAUUUCAAAGCUAUAGUCAACUUCUCACAGUAAUCUUUGGGGUUGCUUUUGGGCAGGUGCUAAUCCUCUUCAAUCAUGCCUUCGACUAUGGCCGUUCAAUUCUCCUAUCAGUACUGUCAGCUGAUCUCGAUUCUACCCACCACUGAUGAGUCCAUGAAGGAUCACAACUCCUUUGGCUACUACUACUAUUGGAUAAGCUUGUCUGCAUCAGUUGUUCAUAGACUCGGUUCGACCUACAAGUCAAUGACUUGCCAACUCUGAUCUACUUUUCCUCUGAUGAUGAAGUUUACCUCUGUUUGCAAGAUCGAGUGUCAUCGUGGCUUAAUAGAAUUAUUGUGAUCCUGAAGCCAAAUGUCACACAAGACAUGCUGCCUGCGUCCGAUCAUUAAUCUUUCCUGCAUCGUUCAGGCAUAUGUGCUACUAUUUGUGCUUGAUACAUGCAAACGUGCUGUCUACUGGAACAAGAACUCGAUGCACACAAGACUCGAUUCUCAGUAUUUUGGUAAUGAAAAAGGAGGCUAAUUUUAUUGCAACAGAACACUGGCAUUCCAGGCUUACACAACACUCUGAAAACAUCAAAAGACGAUCUUUUUUGCAUU